UGGCCAGGACACUAAAACGCUGAUUGAACGACAGACAGACAAGCUUAUACCAAAGCACGGCCCAUCAAUGAUUAGACUAAAAGAAAUCACUCAAUUCUUUUACAACUCAUCUCACACACACACAACCCACAAUCUCGCGAAAAUCAGCCCCCGUAUUCUUCAUCAGUUAUUGUACUCUUCCGAAAUUUAAAGAAAUCUUGGUGCUCUUCCUCAUCAUGUAACUCUGAACAAUUUUCUGCUGAUAAGGACAAACCACACCUUGGAAUAUCAUAUUGACCUGUCCUUCUGAUGACAGUGUAAUACGAACAGCUUAUCUGACUGGGAUCUGACACCCAGUCAUUCUGAAAAGGUAGAAAUGGUUAUCAGAGAUUGCAGACAAAUUCAUUCAUUUCAUGGAACAUAAACUUGCGGGUUUUAAAGGCUUCCAUUAACCAUUUCAUACUACACUUCAUGUACUAGCACGUAAAUCAUGAUAUUGUGUUUCCACCGCCAUUACAUCAACUGAAUAGGUGAUGAAGAAGAAAACUUACCACCAUGACAAUAUGCUGUUAUCAAAGUCGCCAGCAUUACUUGUAACAAACUGAUCAAGUCAAUAAAACUUUUACAGAAGAA